rnacentral:misc_RNA from 1 species
GCUGGGCCGGUUGCGCGAGCCGGUGCGCCACGAACUUCAGGCGGCCGCGCCCGACGUGCCAUUUGCCAAGGUGCAGACCUUCCGCGAGCACAAGGACGCUUCGCUCGAACUCUGGCUGUUGCAUCACAUCUCCGCCGUCGCGACCGUCUUUGGCGCGGCCGCGGCGCUCGUUGCCGUCGUCGGUCUUUACGGCACGAAAGCGUACGGCGUUUCGCGCCGCACGCGGGAGAUCGGGGUUCGGCUUGCGCUGGGAGCGGAGCCGGCGCAGGUGCGCAACCUGAUUCUCCGCGAAGGUCUCACGGCCGCUGUUCUGGGAAUUGCCCCCGGACUGCUCCUCGGUGCCGUGCUCGGCCGUGUCUUCGGCAGUCUGAUUCCAGAAUUCGACGAGCUCGAUCCGGUCGUCUUCGGCCUCACCGCGCUGGCGGUGUUGAUCGCGGCGCUCGUCGCCUCCUGGCUUCCCGCGCGUCGCGCGACGAAGGUCAAUCCGAUGGUGGCAUUGCGAUCGGAGUGAACGGACGAGCGAUCGAUCCCCAUCGCGGGAGAUCCACCCGGUAGCGUUCGAUCCGUGGGCCGCCGGUGUCGCCGACGGGGUUCGUCGCUACGUCGGAGUAACCGGGCUGGUCAGCGUGCCACUUUGUCGUUCUCCGCGCGGCGGAAAUCACGGCAGGACCCCGACGUUUCACGGCCUGGCGAUCCGGGAACUUCAGCGCGGCCGAUCGCGCGCAGCGCGCCGUGCGCGAUCGCGAGAAAUGGCAUGUGGAUCGAUGCGAGGAGAUGUUCCAGCUCGUGCGAUCGCCAGUCCCGGUGGGGAAACGGAUUGAACCAUAAAGGCACGACGACA